rnacentral:misc_RNA from 1 species
AUGCCACCAAAGUUCGACCCAACUGAGAUUAAGAUCGUGUACCUCCGUUGCGUCGGAGGAGAAGUCGGAGCCACCUCCGCUCUUGCCCCAAAGGUCGGACCACUUGGAUUGUCUCCAAAGAAGAUCGGAGAAGACAUCGCCAAGGCCACCCAAGACUGGAAGGGUCUUAAGGUCACCUGCAAAUUGACCAUCCAGAACCGUGUUGCCAAGAUCGACGUUGUCCCAUCUGCUGCUUCCCUCAUCGUCAAGGAGCUCAAGGAGCCACCACGUGACCGCAAGAAGGUCAAGAACGGUACGCAUUUAAUGCGUUGGGUCGGGAGUCGAUAUGCUCUCAUCCCCUGGUCUCUUACUUCAUAAGUUUGUAAAAGUUUGUGACUUAAAGACUAGUAACCUAAGUGAUUUUCAUGCUCCUGAAGCACAAUGGAGACCUCACUGUUGACACCAUCAUCAAGAUCGCCAGAAUCAUGAGACCAAGAUCGAUGGCCAAGAAACUUGAAGGAACCGUCAAGGAGAUCCUUGGAACAGCCCAAUCCGUUGGAUGCACAAUUGAUGGACAACACCCACACGACAUCAUCGAGUCGAUCGCCAAUGGAGAGAUCGAGAUCCCAGCUCAAUGA